ensembl:misc_RNA Y_RNA Y RNA
GAUGGGCCCAAAGGUAGUAAGUUAUCUCGAUUGUUCAUAGUCAGUUACAGAUUGAACUCUUUGUACUGCUCUUUCCCCCAUUCUCACUACUGCACCUGACUAGUCUUUA